ensembl:lncRNA
UUUUAAGGUACUUUUAAAGCUGUUUAAACUGUUCAGAAUAAAACUUUUCAUGCUAGAUAGAUGCCUCAAACUUAGAGGUUUUUGAAUAGUUUUAGGACAUAGUCUUUUAGUCAUCUCUAGGAAAGAGAUUAAGGAAAAAUCCAUUUUCCCUCCUAUUAAUUCUUAAAAAAUUGGGGGAAGGUUUUGUAUUAUAAAGGACUCAAUUUGUGAAGGGAUUAGUGUCUUUCUGCUUGUGCAUUGUGUUACUGUGACACUGUUCAAAUAAUGUUUGACUAGGUAGCUUAAAUGUAAUUUCUCUUUAAUAUAAACAUUUGUGUGGUAUUUCUUAUAUUCAUUUGCUUUUAGAUUGACACUUCUACAUGAGUUCUCUUAUAAGACUGUAUUGAAGGGAAGGUUCUUUCUUGGUUUCUUAAAAAAAUCCCAGACAGAAAAAUAGAUACAUGAAAUAGGUUAUUUUGUUUAGCUUGAAAAUCUGCCAUAGACUUCAGAGUAAAGGUUGGUAAAGAGAUAAACUUCAACUGAUGUGGGUAAUAAGUCUGAACUUUAAUUUGUGAUCCUGAAGAAGUGUUGAAAUUCCAAAAGUGGAAUAGUCGUCUUUAUUAGUUUUGGCUUUCAGUGAGCAACCUAGAAGAGAAUAUGUUUGUCUACAGUGUAUGUAUACUACAGUGUUUGUAUGCUAUAUACAUAGAUGUUUGUAACUCUUGCUUUCACAGGAUUAGAACAUGUGGUUGAAAUCAGAUUUGAAGGAAGAAAAGAGCCACAUUACGAGUGCAAGCUGUGUGGGUUUAAUACAGAGAUGGCACCUAUGAUAGAACAUCUUAGUGGAUAUAAACACAGAAGAGCAUACAUUUCUAAAGAAUUUCCAGAUAAAAUGAAGAGAAAGACAACAGAUGUAAAAGAAUGCAAAGUCUCAUUUCUCAGACGGAUAGCAGGAGAGAUAGAGAAGACUGAAGGAUUAAAAAUGUAUGAGAUUGAAGGUUACAUAAGACCAAGUACCUCACCCCCAUCAAAGAAGAAAGCAAGGUGGGAAGAUGAUUAUAAGCAUGUGAAUGAUCCCGUUCAGAAACAGAAAGCUCUAGAGUUCUUGGAGACUUUUCACAUCACCUCAGACUCAGAAGCAACACUUGUCAUUCACAUUACACAGGAACUCACAGAAGCUUUGAAGGCCUUUUGUGAAAAGAAAGCAGCAAUUAAUUAUGCUAAUAGUCUGAGGCCACUGAUGUCAGUAUCUCAAGAUGAAUUUCCAUCAAGGAAAAGCAUCCAAAACCACCAUAAGCCAUAUGGAAAAUCCAAAGGAAAUUCUAACUGGAAUCAAGUUUUUUUGUCUCAGUAUGAACAGUGUACUGCAAAUGCUUCAUUUGCUCCUGCUAACUCAUACGGUUACCAAACAGAUGAUGGAUCAUCUUCCUAUGGACUAAGACCUAAUGACUUUGCAAUGAUGUCUGCACUUAGUGACUCUUUCGCUCUUCAGACUGGAAGUCCUCCCAGUGGUGUCGAUGAAUGGCUGAGACAGUUCGGUGGAUCUGCCUCUGACAGUAAUUCAGCUGAUGGGACCUCUACCUAUGAGACAAAUUCAGUGAUUGUUCUUACAGAGAUUUCCAGCAAUGCAGACGCUCGGAUAAGAUGUUUGAUGAAGAUGCUGUUGGUCUUACUCCCAACAUUUUGA